AUGGCUCAGGACGAACGCUGGCGGCGUGCCUAACACAUGCAAGUCGAGCGGGGACAUGCGACGGAUCGGAAGUUUCGGAUGGAAGUGAAGAUGUAUGUUCUAGCGGCGGACGGGUGAGUAACGCGUGAGCAACCUGUCCUUCACAGGGGGAUAACACAGCGAAAGUUGUACUAAUACCGCAUAAGACCACGACGGGGCAUCCCGAAGGGGUCAAAGGAGCAAUCCGGUGAAGGGUGGGCUCGCGUCCGAUUAGAUAGUUGGUGAGGUAACGGCCCACCAAGUCGACGAUCGGUAGCCGACCUGAGAGGGUGAUCGGCCACAUUGGGACUGAGACACGGCCCAAACUCCUACGGGAGGCAGCAGUGGGGAAUAUUGGGCAAUGGGGGGAACCCUGACCCAGCAACGCCGCGUGAGGGAAGAAGGUUUUCGGAUCGUAAACCUCUGUCCUAUGUGAAGAGGAAGAGACGGUAGCAUAGGAGGAAGCCCCGGCUAACUACGUGCCAGCAGCCGC
rnacentral:rRNA from 1 species